rnacentral:rRNA from 1 species
AUUGAACGCUGGCGGCAGGCUUAACACAUGCAAGUCGAGCGGGGUGAUGGUGCUUGCACUAUCACUUAGCGGCGGACGGGUGAGUAAUGCUUAGGAAUCUGCCUAUUAGUGGGGGACAACAUCUCGAAAGGGAUGCUAAUACCGCAUACGUCCUACGGGAGAAAGCAGGGGAUCACUUGUGACCUUGCGCUAAUAGAUGAGCCUAAGUCGGGUUAGCUAGUUGGUGGGGUAAAGGCCUACCAAGGCGACGAUCUGUAGCGGGUCUGAGAGGAUGAUCCGCCACACGGGGACGGGGACACGGCCCAGACUCCUCCGGGAGGCAGCAGUGGGGAAUAUUGGACAAUGGGGGGAACCCUGAUCCAGCCAUGCCGCGUGUGUGAAGAAGGCCUUAUGGUUGUAAAGCACUUUAAGCGAGGAGGAGGCUCUUUUGGUUAAUACCCAAGAUGAGUGGACGUUACUCGCAGAAUAAGCACCGGCUAACUCUGUGCCAGCCGCCGCGGUAAGAC